AGUACCUAGUUUGGAGAAAAUGUAAAUAACAGAUUCGUGCACUGACUAAGAGAAUAUUCUCCCACACGUACCUGCAUUUUUCUCUGGGCGUGGAAAUUUCUUCGUCAGGCUCGAAGCUGGGGGCACAGCCAUGGCGCUUCUUAGGGCAAAGGUGUGACGCCGCGCUGGCUGCGGCGGUGCCGGGAGCUCCACAUUGCUGGUUCUUCCUCGUCUUCGCCAAGAUUUGCAGCCCAGCCUCUCUCCCCGCUCGGAAUCGGCAUUCCCCAGCGCCAGAUUGCGCACAGCCGUGGCCUGGAUCUUCUUGCGCAGCAGCAUUCUCGGUAUUGAUCCUCGUCGGGGGUAUUUCGGGGACAUUGUCUCCGGCGAGAGAGGGAAGAGGCCCCUACUGUUCCAGGCUAGGGUUCGUGAUCACUGGAUCUAGCUCCAGCAGCGCCGGUGAAAGGAGGAGAUCACACAUGUAGUGACUACCAUGCGAUCCAAAAGAGGACCAGCGGCAGGUCCCCAGCAUCGCGUGAGAAAUGAUAAGUUCCGGAUCUCUGUGGGGGUGCUUCUUGCAGUUUCUAUGAUCGCUCCACUCAUUUUCCUUGCGCCAAGAAUCGCGAUCUUCAGCACUUCGUUUGGGAAGGGCGAAUUGCCGCAAACCAGCAAUGAUGACUCGCGUAACGGGCAGAAAGCCACUGUGGCGGAUCAAGUACUCGACGUUAUAAUAGCAAACUCCGAGGUAUCUCACUCGUCCUCGUUAGUACGUGAGAAUUCGGAGAAAGAGGUCGCGAAGAAGGAGAACGUUGUUGAGGAUGUUAAAACUGCGGAAGCUGAGGACCAGGGAACGGUUGUGGUGAAUCCAAACCUGCCUCAUGGAGAAGAUGUGAAUACCACUGUCGCUACUGCCGACGAGAGUUCUCAAGUAAAGACCGAUCCAGCUGCUGAGAUCCGAAAGCAACUGAGACUGCGUAGGCAUGAGAAAAGGCUGACAGAGCUUCUCCAGCAGGAUGAAGGAGAAAAGGCACGGCUGGAAGAGGAAGCUAUCAAACGCUCCAAAGCUGUGGAUGGGGCGAUACUCGGCAAGUACAGCAUUUGGAGGCGGGAUGAAAACGAAAACUCAGACUCCCUGGUCAGAUUGAUUCGCGAUCAAGUGAUUAUGGCCAGAGCAUACAUUGGGGUUGCUCAGGCUCGCAACAAUCAGAGGCUUCUUCGCGAUCUGAGAAUCCGUCUCAGAGACAGCGAGCGUGUCGUGGGUGACGCAACCAUUGAUGCUGAGCUACCACGGAGUGCUCCCGAUAAAAUCCGUGCCAUGGGACAGGUUUUGGCCAAGGCAAGGCAGCAGAAUUACGACUGUAACUCUCUAGUCAAAGGUUUGCGAGCAAUGCUGCAUGGAGCUGAAGAUUACGCGCGCUCACUCAGGAAGCAAAGUGCGUUCUUGAGCCAGCUUGCUGCCAAGACCAUGCCGAAAGGCCUGCAUUGCCUUUCGCUGCGCCUCAACGUACAGUAUCAUGUACUGCCCCCAGAUGAGCGUCAGUUCCCGAACCGGGAAAAGCUCGAGGACGACGACUUGUAUCACUAUGCGCUCUUCUCGGACAACGUCCUUGCAGCAGCAGUGGUGGUCAAUUCCACUGUCCUCCACGCCGAGGAACCCGACAAGCAUGUGUUUCAUCUGGUUACAGACCGCCUAAAUUUUGGGGCCAUGAAGAUGUGGUUUCUGGACAAUCCCCCGGGCAACGCCACCAUUCACGUCCAAAAUAUCGACGACUUUACGUGGCUCAAUUCUUCCUACUGUCCCGUCCUACGGCAACUGGAAUCUGCAGCGAUGAAGGACUACUACUUCAAACCGGACCAGACAACGAGCGUAACUUCUGGGACGUCCAAUCUGAAGUACCGCAACCCCAAGUACCUGUCGAUGCUCAACCAUCUCAGGUUCUAUCUCCCGGAGGUGUUCCCGAGACUGAGCAAGAUCCUGUUCCUGGACGACGACAUCGUUGUGCAAAAGGACCUGACUCCGCUGUGGUCCGUGGACCUCCAUGGCAAGGUGAACGGUGCAGUGGAGACUUGUGGAGCCAGCUUCCAUCGAUUCGACAAGUAUCUUAAUUUCUCCAAUCCUCACAUCGCAAGGAACUUCGAUCCAAACGCGUGUGGCUGGGCCUACGGGAUGAACAUCUUCGACCUGGAGGAGUGGAAGAAGCGCGACAUCACAGGAAUCUACCACAAGUGGCAAACGAUGAACAAGGAUAGGACACUCUGGAAGCUGGGAACCUUGCCUCCGGGACUCAUCACCUUCUACAACCUCACGUACCCGCUCGACAAAUCCUGGCACGUCCUGGGACUCGGUUACAACCCCGGUGUGGAUCCCGAGGAGAUCGACGCUGCCGCCGUUGUCCACUACAAUGGGAACCUUAAACCUUGGCUAGAAAUUGGACUCUCGAGAUUCAAAGGUUACUGGUCGAGGUACGUGAAGUAUGAUCAUCCUUACUUGCAGGAGUGCAACAUCCAGUAGUCCAAGAAAAAAAAAAGAAAAACAAACAGAUCGAUCGACCGACCAAGUUUUGUUCUCCAUCCUUCCAUCAACCUGGCACCUGUGCUGUAAAUACGGAUCAAGAAAAUAAUGCACAGAGAAAGAAUUUUCCGGCAAAGCAGUGGCUCGUAUAGAAAGAGGAUGGUUCGUAUAGAAAGGGGAGAGCGUUGUUUUCUACAAACACACACAGAACAACCAAUAAACAGGAGUAAAUAUUCAAACAACUCCAGCCGCAGUAUUCUUCUCAA